GAAAAAGCGGAGAUAAACUAUAAACACAAAGCAGCAAAUAUAUACAUGACAAAGACUCUAACUAUGGCGGAUAUAAUUGGUUCUGAGGACAGGGAGAAGUCCUUAUAUUGCAUACAAAUAAGAUAUCUGGAUGAGCAGUUGGAGAGACGUCAGCUUGAGUGUGACGAGCUAACGAAACAGAACAAGAACCUGGCCUCUCUGUACAUCGCGCUGGAGAUCGACCACAAAGACAUCAACGUGUAUCUGAAAAGCUGCGUGGUUGCAAAAGAGAAGGAGGUGGACGAGCUGGCUGAGCGGCUGCAGAGUCAGCAGCAGGCUGCAGAACAGGACAGAGAGACCCUGCAGCUGCAGCACAGCCAGCAGCUGCAGGAGAAGAUCCAUGAAUUGAGCUCAGAGAACAGCAUGCUGGCGAUUGAGGAAACAAAACAGCAUCAGGAGCCGGAGGAGCAGCUGGUGCAGUUGAUGCAGCAGCAGUCAGAAAUGGAGUCUCUGAAGAAGCAGCUGGUCAGUCAGAGAGAAGAGCAUAAAGCUGCCAUCGACAGCCUGAAGACUGAAGCGGAGUCCAGGAGGCAAAAGUACACAGGAAUCUCUCUGGCUGCUCUCCUUUACUUUUGCUUCAAAUUAAGCGCCAACAAACACUAAAUGUUUGUUCUACAACAACAGGAUGUCCGAGGAGAUGCAGAGCAGAGCGGACAAUUACAUUGAGGCGGAGACCUCGAAUAUUAUCCAGGAGAGGGCUGAGCACAGCGAGGUUCGGGAGAAGGUGCAGGUCCUUCUGAACAAGAACAUGGUUCUGCGGAAUGAGAAGAGAGACCUGCGAGACCAAAAUGAAGUUCUUUGCCUUAUGGACAACAGGAAGAAGAAAAUCAACAUGGUCACGCAGAAGAUACUCAAAAGCAAGAAGGAGGUGGAGCAGCUGACGAAGAAGUGCCAGCAGGUGAAGGUAAAGCACGGUAGCACCACCUACAAGAGCUUGCUGGCUGAGAAAGAGGCUCUCAGACAGCGCCUGGUCUCAGCAUCCGAAGAGUGUCAUCAGAAAACAGCCGAGGCAGAUUCACUGAGGGUGGAGCUCCAGAGGGAGAGCAGCAGGAGGAGGCAGCUGGAGGGCAUCAUGCAGGAAGCAGUCAGCAUCCUCAGCCACAUCCUGACGGUCCCGGAGAAGACUGAGCGUCAGAGGCUGCUGGAGCUCCUGCAGAGCGCCGCUCCCCGAGGAGCAGGCUCCACUCCUGAGGAGAGCAGCCCCGGACCGAGACCACAGACCUCCGCCCUCGAACCAGUCAGAGCUCAGACCCUGAAGCUCUCCACAGAUCCUUUGUUCCUGAUGGCCCGCUACCGCCGGGGCGACCUGGGCCUCGUACCCCGACCCAUGUGGAAACACCAACCAGUCAGUUCCAGGACCAGAGAGUCCACCCAGAGGCCUCUCAGCAGGUCUGUUAUCAAGUAGUUUGUCUUCAGGGGGCGGUGUUGAGUCCAAUCAGUUUUUCCUGUGUAAGAAUGUGUUCAAAUCAUCCAAACUCUUCAUUCGUGCUCCGCCUGAUCUGCUCUCAUAGGAGUUCAUUAUCGUCCUCACACACAAGCCACGCUGACAGUAUCAAUGUCACGUUUCCAUAGUUUAGACUUUGAACAGGACUUUGUAGAAAUGCUGUUGCUCUGUCCGUCAGUCAGGAAACUCUGCAGUCAGAAGACAUUGCGCUCUGAUCCCGAGGCCUCCACCUCUGCAGAACCACAUCCACCCAAACAGUAAGAAGGAUGUCAUCGCCACUUUUUAAAUUAAAAGAUUUUAAUCCUGCUUCUGUUUUAACCAUUGAGAUUUGUAGUUGAUUUCUCUUCUAAACAUUAACAGAUUUUUAAUGUCAUUUCAUGUUCCCAAAUUAUUUUUAUUUCAUGAAUAGAAAAUAGAAGAAAUAUUCAUAAAACAUUUAAAGAGAUAAAAAACAUUGUCACAUUCCCUCUCUCUGAAACCUGAGAAUGUUCUGCAUUUUUACCUGAUAAAUAACAAACGACUACUUGAUUGUCAGAAUAGUUUUUUGGUUUCCUUCCUACUUAAUAUUGUUAAUUACAUUAUCAUAUUUAUAGUUAAUAUUAGAUUAUAUAAAAUCAGUGUUUGUAAUUAGUGGAGUAUAAAUUGGUCCAAAUCAUCUAAGGACAGGUUCCUCACAAGAGGGGAGACUAAUGCAUUUAAAAACAUCUUUAUCAUCAUGUGAUCAUCACAGAGCCUGGGAGUGGUCACAGAGAAAAUAAAUAAAUUGCCUCAAUUAAAAUAAAUCUUUCUCCCAUUUUGCUAACUUUGCACGCACAAGAUAAGUGUAUGUUCAGAGAUCCAGCCCAUGAAGAGAACACUGGAACACAGACUAGAGGAACGCCAAGCAGAUAAAAAUGUGAUAAUCUCCACAGUGUUUACAAAACAUUGAGCCAAGCCGAGGUCAAAGGUCAGACUGCUCAACCACGACGGCUUGCUUACUUUGAACUGUCGCCACCAUUUAUACAUCAAUGAGCCUCACAGCGAGGAGAGGCGGAGUUCUGGGCAGACGGAGGAUAACAGGCGCGGCAGGAGAGGACUGAGCACUCAGCAGCCUUUAGACUGACAUGAUGGAGCUCUAUCUCCACCUGCACUCCCAGCCCUGCUGCUCCCUCUUCCUGUUUGACAAAGCGGUCGGGAUUCCCUUAGAGUUUAAACCUCGCCACAGGUGAUCCCAUCUGAGCAGACAGACAGACACAGGGAGGAGACUCUUUCAAUACUUAGAAACCAAACAGCAGACAGAAGAAUCCAAAUUGGAUGAAAUCACACCCUCAGUCCUGAUGAGGCAGAUUCUUUUGAUUGAUAAUCUCUUAAUGCCUAAAGAUUGUUCUUAACUUUGAUUGUUGCUUAUUAAAUCAUGGUUAUGUUAUGAGAGGAUUUCACUAGAAAGACUUGAAUUCAGGUUUUCAGGUGCUUAAAGAAAACUUUAUCUAAUUACACAGCAUGUAUUGGAAAAUAAUUAGAGAAUACAGACUUGACAAAAACAGAAUUCUGAAUUUGUAGCAAGAGGAGUUCUCUGCUGUGGAUGUCUGUUCACUUUCAGACUCACAGCCUACAUGGCCACGCAGAGUGGGGAAUCCUGGGAAACUGGCACCAUGAAACAAUGUGGAUGUUCUCUCCGGCUUCAACAACAAGCUCGAUCGCACAAACAAAAUGUGUGUGUGCGGAAAUUAAAUAAUUGUUUUUGCUGAAUAAAAGGUCAAUGAACUACAGAAACCCUCCUCUGUCCUCCCUCACAGAACAUAAUCAUCUCCACUCAGGUUGUUCCAGCAAGCAGA
rnacentral:lncRNA from 1 species